GAAUGAUGCAAAAUUGGAGACUGAUGUAGGUGAGAUAAUAUUUUUGUCUAGUUUUGGUGUUUCAUUUUCUGAUUUCCAUUAAGUUUUCUAUUUUGUGAAUAAUCUCGUGCUAUACAGGAUAUGCUUGUCAUACAGCGUAUUCUAGUUUGACAUGGUUGAUUGUGUAAUGUCCAAACUUCAGAAUGCUCUAUAUCCUUAUAGAAAGGGGAACUCCACAUUUGGAG
rnacentral:lncRNA from 1 species